rnacentral:rRNA from 1 species
UACAGAGGGGGCAAGCGUUAUUCGGAAUUAUUGGGCGUAAAGGGCGCGUAGGCGGCCUUCUAAGUCAGACGUGAAAUCCCCCGGCUUAACCUGGGAACUGCGUCUGAUACUGGGAGGCUUGAGUAUGGGAGAGGGAUGUAGAAUUCCAGGUGUAGCGGUGAAAUGCGUAGAUAUCUGGAGGAAUACCGGUGGCGAAGGCGGCAUCCUGGACCAUUACUGACGCUGAGGCGCGAAAGCUAGGGGAGCAAACGGG